GCUCCGUGAUUCCGUUCAACUUCUGAGGUGCCGGGGGAAGGAAGGGGAGGGAGGAGAAUUUCUUAACAUUCGUGAGGAAUCGUUUGGGGUUAUACAGCGCCAGAGGAAUGAGACCCAAUCAGGAUCGAUCUGAUGAAGGGAAGAGCAGGUCCAACUCUUUAGAUCAAGAGUCUUUCGUCAGAAAAAAUUCACUGCCGUUGACGGGCGGGGAGGGAGGUGAGGGGCCCUCUAGCCGGACACAACCCAUUUGUCGCGGCCUGAGAGUCCGUUGUUGUUGCCCUCCAGUCACUCCUCGCGACACCAGCGCUGAAACAGCAGCAUAACUUAUGCUGUCCCAGCCCAGCUGAACGUUUCUGUGUCAAAGUGUGUGGCACAUGAACAGCAGAACCUAUGCUGCCUCCAGCAGCUGGGCAGUAUGGAAAACAGGAACGAGAGCAAAACUUAGGGUGCCCCUGUCGGGUUAUUGAACUAGCUGGCUGUACCCAACAGGAAAAACAGCAUCUUUAAUGUUGUCCCUGCAGGGCCUAUGAACGUUGCUGUGGCUGACUGUGAAGUGAUGAUAACAUCAAUGUUAUGGAAGAACAAUGCUAUUACUAGGAAACUUCGAUGAUAUAACGUGUAAAAGAAGGAGGGGAUAACACGUGAUAACUGCAGUGUGAAGUUACAGAGAGAACAACACUGAAGACGCCUCUGCAGUAUAGCCUACAUCUCAUUAUCGCCAAGUCUCUUGUACAUCGACGAACUCAAGUUCCACCUGAAGCUUCACUUUUCAGUUGUGCUCCUGAGUCUUGCUGGAGUAUCAUGGAUACCACCUCCACCCUUCUCACCUGCCUCCUCAUUAUAAUUGGUGUGACGAUGUUGGGGAGGGCCAUGCAGAUCUACCAGGGCGAUGAGUGCCUGGCCAGGUGUGCCGUGGCUAGGCAAUACACCCCCGUGUGUGGCACAGACUACAUCACCUACACUAAUCCAUCCUCGCUCCUCUGUUGGAAGAAAUGUAGAGACCCAAACCUGAGCGUGGCGCACUUCUCUACCUGCGUCGACUGGAUUACUGGAAACGUCAAGCUAUGAGAUGACCAACAUUAUUGCUUCAGUGACUAUUACUAGCAACGUCAAGCUAUGAGAUGACCAUCAUUAUUGCUUCAGUGACUGUAUUACUAGCAACGUCAAGCUAUUAGAUGACCAUCAUUAUUGCUUCAGUGACUGUAUUACUAGCAACGUCAAGCUAUGAGAUGACCAACAUUAUUGCUUCAGUGACUGUAUUACUACCAACGUCAAGCUAUAAGAUGACCAUCAUUAUUGCUUCAGUGACUAUAUUACUAGCAACGUCAAGCUAUUAGAUGCCCAACAUUAUUGCUUCAGUGACUGUAUUACUAGCAACGUCAAGCUAUGAGAUGACCAUUAUUAUUGCUUCAGUGACUAUUACUAGCAACAUUAAGCUAUGAGAUGACCAUUAUUAUUGCUUCAGUGACUAUUACUAGCAACAUUAAGCUAUGAGAUGACCAUUAUUAUUGCUUCAGUGACUAUUACUAGCAACGUCAAGCUAUUAGAUGUCCAACAUUAUUGCUUCAGUGACUGUAUUACUGGUAACGUCAAGCUAUGAGAUGACCAUCAUUAUUGCUUCAGUGACUAUUACUAGCAACGUCAAGCUAUGAGAUGACCAUUAUUA